rnacentral:rRNA from 1 species
AACUUAAGCAUAUCAAUAAGCGGAGGAAAAGAAACUAACAAGGAUUCCCCUAGUAACUGCGAGUGAAGCGGGAAAAGCUCAAAUUUAAAAUCUGACAGUUAUUUUUUUUGCUGUCCGAGUUGUAAUCUGGAGAAGUGUUACCCGUGCUGGACCAUGUACAAGUCUCCUGGAAUGGAGCAUCAUAGAGGGUGAGAAUCCUGUCUUUGACAUGGACUACCAGUGCUUUUGUGGUGCACUCUCAAAGAGUCGAGUUGUUUGGGAAUGCAGCUCAAAAUGGGUGGUAAAUGCCAUCUAAAGCUAAAUAUUGGCGAGAGACCGAUAGUGAACAAGUACCGUGAGGGAAAGAUGAAAAGAACUUUGGAAAGAGAGUUAAACAGUACGUGAAAUUGCUGAAAGGGAAACGCUUGAAGUCAGUCACAUUGGUUGAGAAUCAGCCUUGCUUUUGCUUGGUGUAUUUUUCAGCUGAUGGGUCAGCAUCAAUUUUGUUUGCUGGAUAAAGGCUUGGGGAAUGUGGCAUCUCCGGAUGUGUUAUAGCCCUUUGUUGUAUACAGCAGAUGGGAUUGAGGAACUCAGCAUGCCAUAAGGCCAGGUUUUUUUUGACCAUGUUCAUGCUUAGGAUGCUGGCAUAAUGGCUUUAAUCGACCCGUCUUGAAACACGGACCAAGGAGUCUAACAUGCAUGCGAGUAUUUGGGUGGAAAACCCAUGUGCGCAAUGAAAGUGAAAGUUGAGAUCCCUGUCGUGGGGAGCAUUGACACCCAGACCAGACCUUUUGUGACGGAUCUGUGGUAGAGCAUGUAUGUUGGGACCCGAAAGAUGGUGAACUAUGCCUGAAUAGGGUGAAGCCAGAGGAAACUCUGGUGGAGGCUCGUAGCGAUUCUGACGUGCAAAUCGAUCGUCAAAUUUGGGUAUAGGGGCGAAAGACUAAUCGAA